rnacentral:rRNA from 1 species
UCAAAAACUUAGUCUCAGUUCGGAUUGUAGGCUGAAACUCGCCACAUGAAGCUGGAGUUGCUAGUAAUCGCGAAUCAGCAUGUCGCGGUGAAUACGUUCCCGGGCCUUGUACACACCGCCCGUCACACCAUGAGAGUUGGCAAUACCCAACGUACGUGAUCUAACCCGCAAGGGAGGAAGCGUCCUAAGGUAGGGUCAGCGAUUGGGGUGAAGUCGUAACAAGGUAUC